ensembl:snoRNA SNORA73 Small nucleolar RNA SNORA73 family
GCGAUGAGGAUAGCCCGUGAGGUCACUCUCCCAAGGCUCUGUCCAGAUGGCAUAGCAAAGCAUGGGUCACUGAAGUCCCUUUCCACUGAAGUCCCUUUCCACAACAUUGGAGAUGAAGCUGGGCUCUGAGUCUGCACCUGCAUAGUCUGACCGCUUCCCAAGAGUCCCGUGGACAGUGACUGAGGAGUCAUGCAUGGUUUAGAA